UCAGGUAGCUCAGUCGGUAGAGCAAGGGACUGAAAAUCCCUGUGUCGGCGGUUCGAUUCCGCCCCUGAC
rnacentral:tRNA from 1 species